GACGAACGCUGGCGGCGUGCUUAACACAUGCAAGUCGAACGGUGAAGGGGCCUGCUUUUGUGGGCCCUGGAUGAGUGGCGAACGGGUGAGUAACACGUGAGUAACCUGCCCCCUUCUUCUGGAUAACCGCAUGAAAGUGUGUCUAAUACGGGAUAUUCUGGGUCUGUCGCAUGAUGGGUCUGGGAAAGAUUGCGCCUUUGGGUGUUUUUGGUGGGGGAUGGGCUCGCGGCCUAUCAGCUUGUUGGUGGGGUGAUGGCCUACCAAGGCGGGGACGGGUAGCCGGCCUGAGAGGGUGGACGGUCACACUGGGACUGGGACACGGCCCAGACUCCUACGGGAGGCAGCAGUGGGGAAUAGUGCACAAUGGGCGCAAGCCUGAUGCAGCGACGCCGCGUGAGGGAUGGAGGCCUUCGGGUUGUAAACCUCUUUCGCCAGUGAAGCAGGCCUGCUCCUUGUGGGUGGGUUGACGGUAGCUGGAUAAGAAGCGCCGGCUAACUACGUG
rnacentral:rRNA from 1 species